rnacentral:lncRNA from 1 species
UGGUGUGUGUCAGGGUGACCGUGUGCCAGUGCCCAUCACAUUUGCCAGGCUUCCUUGAAGCUAGGUGUGAGCAUGUGAACAUUUCUGGCCACAAGGCAAGCUGAAGUUUGUGGGCAGAAGAUUUUGGAAAGCUCCUUAAAGGAGAGACAGCCCGUUUGUCUUUCCCUGCUUGCUCCUUCCUGGUGCCCUGGCUUUCAGAGGUGACGGCAAGUGCUCCAGCAGCCAUCUGGAUCCUAAAGUAACCUUGACGAUGGAAGCUAUGUUCGGAGGGUGACAGAGCAGACACAUAAACCUGGGUUCCUGAUUUACAUUGUAUCUCCUUACCAGAGCUUCUUUUAGAGUUCAAGAGGAGCAUUUCUUUGGGGAUUUUACAAAGAUUGCAUCUUUUCAGUUGCUUUCCAACUGGGUCAGUCUGCUGGAGCAGGCAUCAGAGGAUGCUGGCAGACUUAAAUGCCACUGGACAAAUAGGACACUUGUAGAAGACUUCACAGUGAGAACCUUGAAUGUGAGACUUCAGUAAGGCCACAUCAGAGUACACAGCAUUGGAUUGCACACAUCGGAAACCCACUCUCCACGUGCAGUGCAGACAGUUCUUGGUGAUGUGGGUCUGGACGUGAGCGGACCUGCAGACGGCUCCACACUCAGGGCAG